UACGUAGGGUGCAAGCGUUAAUCGGAAUACUAGGCGUAAAGCGUGCGCAGGCGGUGAUGUAAGACAGUUGUGAAAUCCCCGGGCUCAACCUGGGAACUGCAUCUGUGACUGCAUCGCUGGAGUGCGGCAGAGGGGAUGGAAUUCCGCGUGUAGCAGUGAAAUGCGUAGAUAUGCGGAGGAACACCGAUGGCGAAGGCAAUCCCCUGGGCCUGCACUGACGCUCAUGCACGAAAGCGUGGGGAGCAAACAGG
rnacentral:rRNA from 1 species